rnacentral:misc_RNA from 1 species
AUUAAUCGACCUUUGAUGGGUGCUUAAGCGACCUUUAGUGUUUAAUUAAGCCGUUUUAUCAGUUAGGCACACUUUGUUUACUUGUUUGGCGAUCGCGGUGACGGAAUAUAAUGCCCGUCGCUUGGUUUUCUAGUGGUUCUGUGAUGAGUUUUGACUCAUACCUGAAAAGGGCUUUCCGUGCAAAAACAUCGGUAUGCCCUUAGGCUGCAGGGAAACGUGAAUUAAGAUCUCAAAUUUAUCCAUCUCAGACCUGGAUGACUGAAGUCCAUUUGGACCCCCUGUCGAAACAGCCGCCAUUAUUCAAAUACGGCAGUCAGAGGCUAACCUAAGUAAGUGCCUUCAUCCAUUACGAAACGGUCAUUUUCUCAGCUGGACGCCUGCAUGAGUAUAUUGUGACUUUGAUGCAAAUUCGCUCGCGGUAUUUUGCAGGGGGCGAGAGGCCAUGAGCCAAAGCACCGCUAAUUAACUGUCUCUUGACGCCAUUUGAAGAGCGCUAAAAGCACCUUAUUAAUAAUGGCUUAUCUGAUGCUAGAUUUUUCAGUUUUGACGAGGUGAUUAAUGUUACCUUCGAUAGCCCAAACGUCUUGUUUGAGUCAAAGGCGAGCCCUUUUGAGUGUCAGUGCAGCACAUCACAAUCAACAGUUGCAUAUGUCACAGGAAGAUUAUAUAAAUCGUACAUCUUCGGAUUUUUUAUGGACUCUAGAGCCAUCAUGUCUGCUUAAUUACCUGUUUAAAGCCAUCUGUCUUAACUAAUCACCAUCACGGACGUAAACAGAGUUAAUAAAGAGGAAAACAUGGUAUGUAAAUAGAUACCCCCUAAACCUACCAACUCAGAUUAAUAGAUCUAGUAAGAUACUAUUCUUGGCACUCAAAAUGAUUACUGGUGCAAAUCGAGAAAGGUUACAGCUAUUCUGCCAUAUUUACGCUAAUUGAAAGGAAACCUGCACAAGAAAAUUAAACCCUGGGUGCAUUUACUGAGUGUAAAGAUACAACAAACCCUAUGCACCACCCUUAAAUCUAGUAACCAAAUAAACAAUUUGGGACAGAAGAAAAAUGAUUGAAUAUGUGAUUUUAGGUUUAAUAAUGCCAAACAAUACUGCUAUUCCCGAUAAAUCACUCGCUCUUAGAUCCUAGCUCGGGAACAAUGCAGCAAUGAUUAAUUGACUCCGAAUAAUUCACUAAACCUGCAAUCGUUUCGUGCCGAAGUUGAUGAAUAGUGUUAGACUUCAUCUAAUCAGCCUAGAAAAAUCCAGAAUCCAGAAAAGAAAGAUAGCCAAAAAGAUAACUUCCAAAUCGGUUUAAAGAUCGAUUUUUAUCAAGACGUAUGCAAAUUGUUCGCAAGUUACACAUUUUUUUUCCGCCGGCCAGACACUAGGCUAAAGAGAAAAGACAAUUGACGUGAGCGGAAGACUGUUGACAUGCAAGAGAGGAACAAGAAGAGGGCUGUUUGGAAAGCUGAGUUACGGUUAAUAUUGAGCGAAUAAAACAAUUAGCAAUGGAAGGAAGACCGGCAGAACUCCGACGAAUUGCCGCUGUGAUAUUUCUACUUAUCAACUUCGGAGUCAUAAUAUCAGAAAGUUUGGUCAUCGAUGACCCGCGAUCCACAGUUAUCUGUAUAGCAGGGAAUACAUCCCACAACGUGUCGUUCGAGAAGGACAUCACUGCCGGAGUAUUUACCUCUUUGGACACUGCAAACAGCAUCGAAAGCUGCGUGCGCAGAGCGUGCAACAGAAGGGAUGGGGACAUGACAUUUCUGGUGGGAAAAAGCUGCUUUAUGGUCAGAUGCUACUCGCCAACGUCGUGCAAGAUAGUGAAGCCUUCUUCCCCGAGUAGUGUCGACAUUUCUAUCACGCCUUACACGUGGUUUGAUGCAGCGCCGGUGUUUACCGACCUCCCGAGGGUUCUCGAAGUCAAGGAAAACAACCAACGAGGACAAAUUAUCAAGAACAUUUAUGGGCAAGCAAGGAGCCGUUGGAAUCAAAAUGCGUCCAUAAAAUACACCAUUAUUAAAGGAAAUAUUGGCAAUGCCUUCGAACUCAGGCACCAUCCACUCGGGCAAAGCGCGUCCUUAGUGGCGACCAAGAGACUGGACCGAGAAACAACCCCCUGGUACAGCUUAACAAUCUUAGCUAAAAACACGGAGGAGAACAAGACAAACACUACAGUGCUCUCGAUUAACGUAACGGAUGACAACGAUAACGCUCCGGUCUUCACGCACACGAAUUACUCCGUGACCAUAUUAAGUAAUCGUUCUUCAGGCUCUGAAGUUUUUAGAAUCAGCGCAACGGACGCUGACGUGGGCGAAAAUGCGCGCAUUCGUUUCUACUUGCUCAAUCAUCAGUCAUUAUUUCGGAUGCUGUCAGACAGCGGAACGAUUUUGCUGAAUCAGAAGCUCAGAGUGGAUCGAACACGCACCUACACGUUAAUCGUAGCGGCGAGAAAUGGCCCGCACAAGACCAUCACUUUUGUCUCAGUGAAGGUUCUACCAGUCAACGAGUAUAGACCAUUCUUUGAGAAUCUACAAUACAGGAUCAAAGUCUCCGAAGCAAUGAAAGCAGGAAACUCAGUGAUAAAAGUGUUGGCGAAGGAUUUUGACUAUGGGACGAAUGGAGAGCUGAACUUUUCCAUCAUAGCUGGAAACAUGUCAUAUUUUAGCAUUGACAACACCGGUGUAGUGCGGACGCGGGUGUCUUUACUUACUCUCGGGGGUAAAAACUCUACCUUAACGGUAGUUGUCAGCGACAGAGGCACGCCUCCAAAACGAGCCAUACACAUAGCGAAAGUGUUUAUCAUAAUUGAGGCGAUAAGAAAGCACAAAGUGACAUUUGAUUUAAAGGAGUAUUACGUGGCGAUAGCAGAAAACACUCCAGUUGGCUCGACUAUUCUUACUGUUCGCGCCGUCUUUGGGCGCGCGAAACUGGACGAAAUACCCCAAGCACAGCGAAGGCUUGAGAAGAAAUCCAAACGAGUCGUCUAUUCAAUUGGAAAUACCCUGGGUAACUUGGGCUUCACUAUCGGUAGACAUACUGGGGAGAUAAAGACAAAGGUGAACUUGGAUUACGAAAAGAUCAAAGAGUACAGGUUGACGCUAAUUGCAAAGGAUACCGAGAAAAAAGACGAAAGCGGGCGCGCUGAAAUAGACACAGCCGAAGUCAAAAUACAUGUACUGGACCUCAACGACAACGCCCCUCGCUUCAUUCUUGACUCUUACCAGAAGGUAAUCAGCGAGAACGCCACGGUGGAUUCAGUAAUACUACGGGUGACGGCGACGGAUCCCGAUUCUGGAACGAAUGGCCAAGUACAUUACUCGCUAUUAAACGGCAAUAUUAAUAACACAUUUGAGCUAGAUAACAACGAUGGAGUUUUAAAACUACAGCAAAGGCUCACACGACCUUCUGUGCCUAAUUUCUUCAAUCUGACGAUCUCUGCCACAGAUCACGGUACACCUCCCUUAACUUCCAAGUUCGUGUUCGUCUACCUGAAAAUUCGACGUCCUAUUCCGAAGUGUUCCGAAAAAGGCAAACUGGUUUUUCCACUUGCGGUGUACUUGGGAAAUGUCAACGAAAGUUCUCCCUUAAGAACGCCCAUUCUGCGCGUGCGUGCGAACAUUGGCAAGUGCGCCCCCAGAGCUAGAAUAAGCUACAUCAUUUCAGGACUUCGCGACCCGGAAGUUGAUGAGCACUUCGUUGUUCAGCCCCAAACAGGUGUUAUAAGACUGAUCAAGCCACUGGAUUACGAAGUGAGGAAUAGGUACUCAUUUCACGUCGGAGCAGUAGAUAUCCAAAACAAUAACACUCCCGACACUGUUCUGGUUCGAAUAUUGGUGGAUGACGUGAAUGACAACAAGCCGGUGUUUUUCAAACAGCGCUACAAGGAACUGAUAGCGACACUGCCAGAGCCUGGGACCGAGAUAACCAUGGUCAGAGCAUUUGAUAGGGACGCUGGGAAAAACGCCGAGCUGGAAUACUUUGUGAUCAGCGGCAGUGGUGGCUUUUUUAGAAUCGAUCCAAAAACUGGAGCCAUUUCAACCAUCAAAAAGGUGAAUACAGAGAAUCUUCGCCUGUUUAACAUAACAGUGUCAGUCUCAGAUCAAGGCACGCCGCCGCUGUCCUCCGUGCGGCAGGCUCACGUGUCAAUACUGGUCUUCACUCCACUCCAGUCCACUCUCAUUCUCAUUGAAACAACUGACACGACCAUGAAAGUGAGGUUUAACUUGAAGUACGUGGCACGUAGCAAUAUCGUUAAGUAUGGCAUUAUAGUGCAAGAAUACGCCCCAGGAGACAGCGAAUACGAAGAAUUAACACAAAAAGAUCCACUGACAUGGUACAAAGUUCAAAGAGGGUCACGGGAAAACCGCCGGUACAUCACCACAGUGAUACCAUCAAACCCAAAAAUCACAAAUGUGUUGGAGGUAAAUAUCGGCGUAGAUAAGAACUGCGAGAACAAACGAGCAGAUGAAGACUUCUGCAACGGGCCAUUAAAGUCAGGCAAGAAAUACAGAUUUCAACUGCGCGCCUACCUGAAGUCCACGGGGCCAUUUCAAGACGUUGCAUUUCAGGAUAGCGAUCUCUCAAAUCCACACUUUACAUCUUCGCCACCUGAAUCAGAGCCGUCGCAAAACAUAGAGGGAAGAAAAAAUUACGACGCAGUUGUGUAUAGUGUGGGGACAGCUUUGGUGCUGGUCAUAAUACUAGCCUUUUUGAGAGGAUUUUAUCGAUUAAAAUUGGACAGAAAGAGAAUUCACGAAGAAAAGAAGAAGCGCAUUUCAUUUCCCAUGAGCAAUCCACGGUUUCAGGAGCCUAACUCGCCAGUUGAAAAGAUUAAAACCCCAGGACCCGCAAAGAAGAUGGUUGCUGUCAAUCAUGACAAAGGCUCAGAGUUCAGCCACCAUGACGAGGACGAAGGCUCUUCCCCAGACUCCGCACUAGGUACGUGCCCAUCGUGCAACUCUGAGCCCACGCCACCACAAGAAAACAGUCCAGCGUACUUUACCUUUGAGUUUUAGGGAGAAUGGCGGGACUUUUCCCCGAGCCAACACCUAAAGGACUGUGUAGGAUGCAAGUUCGACCCGUUUAGAUAGAUGAAAGCACAAGGCCAUUAAAAGACAGAAGGCGACGCCCAACCUUACAAGAAGUAAGACUUAAAAACUACUUUAACUCCGUGG